rnacentral:rRNA from 1 species
AGUAAGAUCCCUGAAAGAUGAUCAGGUUGAUAGGUCUGAGGUGGAAGUGUGGCGACACAUGGAGCUGACAGAUACUAAUCGAUCGAGGACUUAACCAAUUU